rnacentral:snoRNA from 1 species
AAUGGAACCUGCAAAUACCAACCAUGUAGACAAAUGAAGAAACGCCAUUUGUCUACAAACUGCAGUGAUCCUACAUUAACAUGGAGGUCUCUGUCUGGCUUAGGACAGCUGACUAAGUCUGAUCGUUCCCCUCCGAACAGC